AAGACCUGUCUAAGUACACACAUCAGAUGCAUAAGCAGCAGAAAACAACUUUCUCACAAUAAUAACUAUGACAAGUUGAUGUCAGAACAUUGUGUUUGACAUCACAACACAACAACCCACUAAGUUCUAGAACAGGAACUCCCUCUUAAGCACAACCUGGAAAUCAUUAGUUAGUGGUUAGUGGUCAGAACAUACAAACAAC
rnacentral:lncRNA from 1 species